CCCCGCCCGGGGCUGGGGAAACUGAGGCUGGGUGGCUCCCCGCAAGCGCUCGGCGAGCUGGGGACUGGAGGGGCGAGAAAGUUGUUUGGGUAUCAGGUGGGCGGUCACAGGGAGGAGGGUGACGGUGCAGGACCCAGCGGGCCUCCCGGUUGUAACGCGGACGGGGGUGGGGCGCUCGGGGCAGGGCGCGGCUCGCGGGGUGGGCGGCCAGGCCCUGGCCUCUCCGACUCCGCAGCCGCGAUGACCGAGCGCUUCGGCAGCUUCCCUUCCAGCCGGACUGUGGGCCCUACCAGAAUGCGGCCGGGGACGGUGCAGGCCCGGCCGCAGCCGCCACCACUGGGCUCCCGCCCCACCCCACUCCCAGGCCCGCGAGCUUCAUGCGCUCGUUUCGGUCCCCCCAAAACCCAGCUAGGAGGCCUUCGGGAGGCCCCGGAAUCAGAUGAUCCCGGCCAGGCCUUUCUCCCUCCUCCAGGAAAACCGACAGCCUUUGGUCGAGACCCUGACCUCUAACCCUGCGCCCUCCCCUUCUCAUUAUUCCCUCUCCUCGGGGCUUUUGGACCCUCGUAUCUGUACGAGGAAACUUUCCAGGCGCUCCCCCUCGACACAAACUGCGCCUCAGACGGGCAAAGGGGAAGGGCCGGGGUGUAGACUGUGAGGGUGGGAGACAACCCCCCUCUGUCCCCACGCAGCCACCGGCGCAUCUCCCUGGCUGCAGGGCCUCGACCUCCAGCCCGGCCUGAAGGGCAGCGGAGCGCGCCUGGGUCAAGUCCUGCGGCUUCGCCGGCUCCGCAGGCCUGACUCAGCAGCCAGCCGGGAGGGCAUGCUGAUUCAAUGGGCGAGGCUCCGCUCGCUGCUGCCAGCGGCUUGGGAAAAACCCUCCCAGUGCCUGCAGACGUCCCAAGUGCGGGGCCCGGAGGCAUCAUUUAACCUGGAGGGGUUCCUGGGCCAGUCCCCCAGCCCCAUCUUGUGAACUGCUGUUCCUUUCCGAUGUUAUCACCCAGCACCAGCAGCCCUUUGUGAACCCUGCAGUUAGGCCCCGCAGUCACCAGAGAAGCAAGUGCUCCUCGGUUUUUCCAGGGAGGUCUGGUUACUUUUAUCUCAUUUAUAAAGACAAAGGGGGAGCUCCUAGGUAACACGGUAGGGUUGGCCCGGGGAGAGGCACUGAGUCAGGGUCAAACAAACUUUCUCCAUACCACUUUCAGGUUAGUGAUUUCAGCCAGACUGCAGCUUGGAUGUCACUAAGUUCAGCCACUGGGCUGGGCACCGCCAAGCAUCGACUGCUCAUUCUUUCUGUGCCGCUGCGCCCAGUAACUGUCCCCUCUGCUCACCCACAACCCUAGCCAGAAACCUGGGAUGCCUGCACCGCUCCCUUACGCCCUACUACAACAGAGAGGAGAUCUUGCUAUGUUGCCCAGACUGAUCUCGAACUCCUGGCCACAAGUGAUCCUCCCAGCUGGCCUCCCAAAGUGCUGAGAUUACAGGUGUGAGCCACCAUGCCCGGCCUCUCAGUAUUUCUUGAAUCCAUCUCCACUGCCACCACUUUGUUCUGGCUUUAUUACCUUGUUCUUUUAUUUCCUCAAUAAAUAUUUGUUGCUCUCCCAUGAUCCUCAUAACAGCCAAGGAUGCAUAGGUGAACAAGAUAGAUAAGAUCUCUGCUUUCUAAGAGUUUACAUUCCAGUGAGGAGAAGUAGGCCAUAAACACAUAAGGAAAUACCGGAUCUUGCCGAGAUGAUGGAACAGGCAGAGAUGGAACAAAGAUGAUGGAACAGGCAGAGUCUAGGUGGUCAGGGGUGAACUCAGAGGCAGGCGGGUGACCUGAGACCCAAAUGAGAGGAGGGAGGCAGGCGUUCAAAGCCCCAGGAGAGGCCGGCGAGGUGGCUCACGCCUGUAAUCCCAACACUUCAGGAGGCCGAGGCAGGUGGAUUGCCUUCAGGAGUUCAAG
rnacentral:lncRNA from 10 species